GACGAACGCUGGCGGCGCGCCUAACACAUGCAAGUCGAGCGAGAACCAGGGCUUCGGCCCUGGGGAAAGCGGCGAACGGGUGAGUAACACGUGGGUAACCUGCCCUCGGCACCGGGAUAGCCCGAGGAAACUCGGAUUAAUACCGGACAGCCUCAUGAGCCCUCGGGCGAAUGAGAAAAGGUGGCUUCGGCUUCCGGCUGAGGAUGGGCCCGCGUCCGAUUAGCUUGUUGGUGGGGUGAUGGCCACCAAGGCGACGACGGGUAGCCGGCCUGAGAGGGCGACCGGCCACACUGGGACUGAGACACGGCCCAGACUCCUACGGGAGGCAGCAGUGGGGAAUCUUGCGCAAUGGGCGAAAGCCUGACGCAGCGACGCCGCGUGAGGGAUGACGGCCUCGG
rnacentral:rRNA from 1 species